GUGUGUGCAUUCACAUCAAAGGCCACCAUGAAGACAGGCACAGCCUUUGUUCUAGUGGCUUUUGUCAUCUUGGGGAUGGAGAUGGCCUUCGCUCAGAGAGGUGGUCAUGGAGGGCACUGCCCCAGGGUGCCCAAAGGAACCUAUGGGAAUUGUGCUGUCCGCUGCAGAGGAGAUAACUCAUGUCCCAGGGGAAUGAAAUGCUGCAGCAAUGGAUGUGGCCGUGAAUGCAAACAUGCUAUCUAUUAUGAUGGUGUUGAUGACCCUGUGGAGGAAGAAUGGGGGAUGUAAGCGUGCCUGGAGACCAGCCGCAGAAGAUUGCUCAUGAAUGCAUGGAUCCAGUGCUUGGCAUAACAUUUUCCACACACCAUUCUUGGCAAGUGCCUAUCCCUUGACGUGCAGUCUCAGAAGAUGAAGAUCUAAAAUGGUGGAGUGGCUGAUUCUAAAGAGCUUGUAUCCAAAAUAAAUUUUAUCUGUGGCAUUA